rfam:Schistosoma haematobium scaffold70_14, whole genome shotgun sequence.
CUGGGAAUGAGGAGUCCCACAAUAGGACGAAACGGCCGUCCAG